UACGAAGGGGGCGAGCGUUGCUCGGAAUUACUGGGCGUAAAGGGCGCGUAGGCGGGAUGGCAAGUCGGUCGUGAAAGCCUUCGGCUCAACCGAAGAACGUCGGCCGAUACUGCCGUUCUUGAGGGAUGCAGAGGAGACUGGAAUUCCCGGUGUAGCGGUGAAAUGUGCAGAGAUCGGGAGGAACACCGGUGGCGAAGGCGGGUCUCUGGGCAUCUCCUGACGCUGAGGCGCGAAAGCGUGGGGAGCAAACGGG
rnacentral:rRNA from 1 species